CAGCGGUUCACUAACAGCUGUGCAUCUGCCCCGGGCCCAUUACAAGAAAAAGGAGAGAGAUGAAUAACACAACUUCCUCAACCUUCUCUUAAGAAAGGAAGAGUGAGAUAAGCAGAAACUCAGGGAGGAAGAAAUCAUAGGCCAGACUUUGGCUCCAGCCAUAAGCACGCUGUCCAGUCCAGCUUCUACCAGAGACUGAUCCUGAAAGCUUCUGUUCUGUAGGUUAACUCCUGUGAUGCUCAGCCCCAACAUGCGACCCUAUAGACUAUAGCUCAGCACCAGGCUCCUCUGCCCAUGGGAUUCUCCAGGCAAGAAUAUUGGAGUGGUUGCCACUCCCUCCUCCAGGGGAACUUCAUGACCCAGGAAUCAAACCU